GACGAACGCUGGCGGCGUGCCUAAUACAUGCAAGUAGAACGCUGAAGAGAGGAGCUUACUCUUCUUGGAUGAGUUGCGAACGGGUGAGUAACGCGUAGGUAACCUGCCUUGUAGCGGGGGAUAACUAUUGGAAACGAUAGCUAAUACCGCAUAACACUGGAUGACACAUGUCAUUUAUUUGAAAGGGGCAAUUGCUCCACUACAAGAUGGACCUGCGUUGUAUUAGCUAGUAGGUGAGGUAAUGGCUCACCUAGGCGACGAUACAUAGCCGACCUGAGAGGGUGAUCGGCCACACUGGGACUGAGACACGGCCCAGACUCCUACGGGAGGCAGCAGUAGGGAAUCUUCGGCAAUGGGGGCAACCCUGACCGAGCAACGCCGCGUGAGUGAAGAAGGGUUUCGGAUCGUAAAGCUCUGUUGUAAGUCAAGAACGGGUGUGAGAGUGGAAAGUUCACACUGUGACGGUAGCUUACCAGAAAGGGACGGCUAACUACCUG
rnacentral:rRNA from 1 species